rnacentral:rRNA from 1 species
UGGGGAAUAUUGGACAAUGGGGGGCAACCCUGAUCCAGCAAUGCCGCGUGUGUGAAGAAGGUCUUCGGAUUGUAAAGCACUUUCGACGGGGACGAUGAUGACGGUACCCGUAGAAGAAGCCCCGGCUAACUUCGUGCCAGCAGCCGCGGUAAUACGAAGGGGGCUAGCGUUGCUCGGAAUGACUGGGCGUAAAGGGCGUGUAGGCGGUUUACACAGUCAGAUGUGAGAUCCCCGGGCUUAACCUGGGAGCUGCAUUUGAUACGUGUAGACUAGAGUGUGAGAGAGGGUUGUGGAAUUCCCAGUGUAGAGGUGAAAUUCGUAGAUAUUGGGAAGAACACCGGUGGCGAAGGCGGCAACCUGGCUCAUGACUGACGCUGAGGCGCGAAAGCGUGGGGAGCAAACAGGAUUAGAUACCCUGGUAGUCCACGCU